CGGUCACGCGGGGCGGGCGCACGCGCGGUGCGGAUGCUCGCGCCGCCGUUCGCGCCGCCGGGAGCGGCGCGGCUCCAUGGGGAGAACAUGGCUCCCUUCCCCGAGGAGGUGGACGUGUUCUCCGCCCCGCACUGGCGAAUGAAGCAGCUCGUGGGGCUCUACUGCGACAAGCUUUCCAAGACCAACUUCUCCAACAACAAUGAUUUUCGGGCACUGCUGCAAUCUCUUUAUGCCACGUUCAAGGAAUUUAAAAUGCACGAGCAGAUUGAAAAUGAGUGCAUCAUUGGUUUGCUUCAGCAGCGUAGCCGGACAGUGUACAAUGUGCACUCGGACAACAAGCUCUCAGAGAUGCUUAGCCUUUUUGAGAAAGGGCUAAAGAAUGUAAAGAAUGAAUAUGAACAGCUAAACUAUGCGAAACAGCUGAAGGAGAGAUUGGAAGCCUUUACCAGGGAUUUCCUUCCUCAUAUGAAGGAGGAGGAGGAGGUUUUUCAGCCAAUGUUGAUGGAAUACUUUACUUAUGAAGAGCUGAAAGAUAUUAAGAAGAAAGUAAUUGCACAGCACUGCUCACAGAAAGAGGCUGCAGAAUUCAGAGGUCUCAGUAAGUGGAAUCAGGCAGAAGAGCUUCAGAAGGUCUUUAAGUACUCUGUGGAUGAGAAGGCAGAUCAAGAAACCGAAGUAACAGGGCACACCACAAAUAUUACUAAUCUCCCUCCUGAAGUAAUGGUGACCAUUUUCAGUUACCUUAACCCCCAAGAGUUAUGUCAGUGUAGUCAAGUAAGCACUGAAUGGUCACAAUUGGCUAAAACUGGAUCUCUGUGGAAACAUCUUUACCCUGUUCGCUGGGCAAGAGGUGAUUGGUAUAGUGGUCCUGCGGCAGAUACUGAGACCGAACCUGAUGAGGAAUGGGUGAAAAACAGAAAAGAUGAAAGUCGUGCUUUCCAGGAAUGGGAUGAAGAUGCUGACAUAGAUGAAUCUGAAGAAGCAGCUGAAGAUUCACUUGCCAUUAAUAUAGCACAAAUGGAAAAACGUUUACUUCAUGGCCUAAUUCAUCAUGUCCUCCCACUUGUAGGCUCCUCAGUGAAGACACUGGUAUUGGCCUACAGUUCUGCAGUGUCCAGCAAAAUGGUUAGGCAGAUCUUAGAGCUUUGCCCCAACUUGGAAUAUUUGGAUCUCACUCAAACUGAUAUUUCAGACUCUGUAUUUGAAAGUUGGUGUUCAGUUGGGUAUUGUCAAAAUCUACGCCACCUUGAUCUGUCUGGAUGUGAAAAAAUUACAGAUGUGGCUAUAGAGAGGAUUUCCAGAGCACUGGGUAUCAUAUCAACUCACCACACCAGAGGUAUUCUGAAAAGCUGCAGGAACAGGAACCCUAAGACUUUGUGGAAAAACAGAGAGAUUACUCUGCAGUCCAACCAGAAAUAUAAUGGUUUGCAUGAAAUCAGCAAUGAAAAUCUCAUUCAGGGAGGAAAUGGUGAGCAGCACUGGACUAAACCUGACGGCUCAGAAAACUUCAAUUCUGCUUAUGUGUGGAUGCUAGAUGCAGAUGAUUUAGCUGACAUUGAAGAUGCUGCAGAGUGGAGACACAGAAAUGUUGAAGGAUUUUGUCUUAUGGAACCAACAUCCCAUAUUAAUUGUUCUGCAUUGUGCUACGGUAGAGACAUUUAUGGGUUAAGGACUAGAGGGUGGCAGCAGCACUGUGCUUCUACUGACUUGAUUUACUGCGGUCACUCAUUUUGUUGUGCUGGGACAGCACUAAGAACUAUUCAAGCACUUCCAGAGUCCUCUGCACUGUGUAAGAAACCAAUAAGGACUAAGCAGUCAGAGAAAAAAGACUCUGCAUACUCUGGGAGUGAAAAAACAGACGAAGAGACGGCACGAGUUCUUCAGUUUCUCAGUCUGUCAGGCUGUUACCAGAUAACAGACCGUGCUCUCAGGGCGUUGACUCUGGGAGGAGGACUGCCGCAUUUGGAACACCUGAACCUCUCGGGGUGUCUCACUGUAACUGGUGCAGGCCUGCAGGAGUUGGUUUCUGCAUGCCCCUCUCUAAAAGAUGAACACUUUUACUACUGUGACAACAUUAACGCAGCAGCCAAAAAAGCCACCAAUAUUACCAUCGUCAGGGUGGUGAAAACAAGAUAGAGGGUGCUGUGCAUGGUCCUGGAAGCCUUGGGGCACUCAUGUGGAGCACUGCAUGCGGGUUUGGUCUCCCCAUCCUGAGGAGAGUGUACACUGGAGUUACUGAAGAUACAGAAGAGGCCUUCUAAAAAGUUAGGGACCUGAACACUCAAAAGGCUGGAUGUUUCAGUGAGAUGGCUGAAAAGAGGGGCAUGACUGUUUACAGACCUGGGAAAGCAGUAGAUGAGGUCCUCAUGCUGAAACCGCCAGUGGAUGCCAGAAUUUGCAGUGUGGUUUUCGGGCCUGCUGCCGCUCUGGCGAAUGACCGCUGACUUCUGAUCUUUCGGUCUACUUCAUUUAGCUGAGCAGGCUUCCUCUCAUGCACUUUACUUACAGUUCGCAUCUUGUGUUAACAGUCCUUGGAGUGAGACUUGUUAUACUAGCCUGACCCUGCCCACAACUUCAGAAUCUUAAUUAUGAGUGUACUGUACAGUGUUGUAACAAUCUCACAACCUCAUUUGGCUUGAAGGGUGUUGGGUUUUAUUUUACAUAAUUUGGGGAAGAUGGGAAACUCUUCAGUUUUUUCUUUUUAAUGCCACUUUAUUCCAAUUUUGGCACUUAAGUAUACUUUACUGCAUUAUUUUGUGUUAGGUGACUUCCUUUUUAUAAUUUUGAGUCCGUAAGUACAGUAUAAACCUCCGCAGAGAAUUUGAAUUUUAUUGUUUGCAUUUGGGUAAUAAUUACACAUCUUUAGGAGCCUGGUUUCUUCCCCUUUCCUCUCAUCCUGAAGUCGUUCUUUACAUUGCAAAAUUAGGGAAAUUGCCACCUUCCUUUUGCAUUUGGUUUUGUAUUUGGGCUUGAAAGACAUACUCAAAUAAAACAUUCCCACCAAUAAAAAAA